UAACGAAUCUUCCGCAAUGCACGAAAGUGUGACGGAGCGACGCCGCGUGUAGGAUGAAGCCCUUCGGGGUGUAAACUACUGUCAGGGGUUAGAAAGUUCUGAUCAACCCCAGAGGAAGGCACGGCUAACUCUGUGCCAGCAGCCGCGGUAAGACAGAGGUGCCAAGCGUUAGGCGGAAUCACUGGGCUUAAAGCGUGUGUAGGCGGAUGUCUAAGUACCUUGUGAAAUCCCACGGCUCAACCGUGGAACUGCUUGGUAUACUGGAUGUCUUGAGCCAGCUAGGGGCUACCGGAACAAAUGGUGGAGCGGUGAAAUGCGUAGAUAUCAUUUGGAACGCCAAUGGUGAAAACAGGUAGCUGGGGCUGUGCUGACGCUGAGACACGAAAGCCAGGGGAGCAAAC
rnacentral:rRNA from 1 species